UAGAGUUUGAUCCUGGCUCAGGACGAACGCUUGCGACGUGCCUAAGAAAUGCAAGUCGAACGGGGUAGCAAUACCUAGUGGCGAACGGUCGCGUAACACGUGGGCAACCCGCCCUGAAGUGGGGGACAACAGUCAGAAGGGCUGCUAAUACCGCAUGUGGAUUGGGAUGGCAUCGUCCCGGAUCCAAAGCCGUAAGGCGCUUCAGGAUGGGCCCGCGGCCUAUCAGCUAGUUGGUGGGGUAACGGCCUACCAAGGCUUCGACGGGUAGCUGGUCUGAGAGGACGAUCAGCCGGAUUGGGACUGAGAUACGGCCCAGACUCCUACGGGGGGCAGCAAUUAGGAAUCUUGCGCAAUGGGCGAAAGCCUGACGCAGCGACGUCGCGUGGAGGAUGAAAUCUUUCGGGAUGUAAACUCCUUUUGCCGGGGAAGAAGAAUGUGACGGUACCCGGUGAAUAAGCCCCGGCUAACUACGUGCCAGCAGCCGCGGUAAUACGUAGGGGGCGAGCGUUGUCCGAAGUUACUGGGCGUAAAGCGCGCGUAGGCGGGUCUUUAAGUGAGGGGUGAAAGGUUCAGGGCUCAACCCGGACACUGCCUUUCAUACUGGGGACCUUGAGUGCGGGAGGGGCGAGUGGAAUGGUCGGUGUAGCGGUGAAAUGCGUAGAUAUCGAUCGGAACACCCAUGGCGAAGGCAGCUCGCUGGCCUGCAACUGACGCUGACGGCGCGAAAGCGUGGGGAGCAAACAUGAUUAGAUACCCUGGUAGUCCACGCCGUAAACGAUGAUUGCUAGGUGUAAAGGGUAUCG
rnacentral:rRNA from 1 species